rnacentral:rRNA from 1 species
GCAUCGAUGAAGAACGCAGCGAAAUGCGAUACGUAAUGUGAAUUGCAGAAUUCAGUGAAUCAUCGAAUCUUUGAACGCAUCUUGCGCUCUCUGGUAUUCCGGAGAGCAUGUCUGUUUGAGUGUCAUGAAUUCUUCAACCCAAUCUUUUCUUGUAAUCGAUUGGUGUUUGGAUUCUGAGCGCUGCUGGCUUUAUUGCUCAGCUCGUUCGUAAUACAUUAGCAUCCCUAAUACAAGUUUGGAUUGACUUGGCGUAAUAGACUAUUCGCUAAGGAUUCGGUGGAAACAUCGAGCCAACUUCAUUAAGGAAGCUCCUAAUUUAAAAGUCUACCUUUUGAUUAGAUCUCAAAUCAGGCAGGAUUACCCGCUGAACUUAAGCAUAUCAAUAAGCGGAGGA